UGUCUUUGUGAUUUAAAAAGUAUUGUUC
rnacentral:piRNA from 1 species